GGCUCAGGAUGAACGCUAGCGGCAGGCUUAAUACAUGCAAGUCGUGGGGCAGCAGGUUUGUAGCAAUACAGAUGCUGGCGACCGGCAAACGGGUGCGGAACACGUACAGAACCUUCCUUUGAGCGGGGAAUAGCCCAGAGAAAUUUGGAUUAAUACCCCAUAGUAUAAUGAAGUGGCAUCACUUUAUUAUUAAAGAUUUAUCACUCGAAGAUGGCUGUGCGGCUGAUUAGGUAGUUGGCGGGGUAAAGGCCCACCAAGCCUGCGAUCAGUGACUGGUGUGAGAGCACGACCAGUCACACGGGCACUGAGACACGGGCCCGACUCCUACGGGAGGCAGCAGUGAGGAAUAUUGGUCAAUGGAGGCAACUCUGAACCAGCCAUGCCGCGUGGAGGAUGAAGGUCCUCUGGAUUGUAAACUUCUUUAUAUGGGACGAAAAAGGCUUUUCUAAGUCGUCUGACGGUACCAUAUGAAUAAGCACCGGCUAACUCCGUG
rnacentral:rRNA from 1 species